rnacentral:misc_RNA from 1 species
UUUCGUUUCAGGUUGCGCUAUUUAUUGAUAAAAACGUUGGCGGUAGAUCGGAACUCGUUAAUCCGAGCACGAAGUGCCGCAGUCUAGACGCGUUUCAACCCCCCUAGGACAGCCCUUAGGCCACCCCACCAGUUCCGCACCUCAUCCAACAUCGAUCCAAGAGGAAACUCACCGCUAGCCCUCCUGACUUUUUCCCAGAAUCACCUACUCUUUUUUAUCAGAGGAUAUAUGCAUAUCAGCGUCGACGAGAAGAUAAACGAGAUGAUCGGUGUCCCUCAAUUUUUGAGCACUGGUUAUGCUUUUGCUCAGACCCUGGGCCUUCGCGGACGCCUCGCCCAUUUCGUCCAGAAUCCUGGUCAGUUGUCUUUGAGAUUCUCUGAAACAACAGUGAUCCGAAAUUAAGGCGAGGAGAGUACUUGUGAUGUCGAAAAACUUCCGCAUCAGAGAUUCCCGGCGUCCUUGAAAUUCUAGGCGGGAGAUUCAGCUAUGGAGUUCACGGUAAACUUGGCCUACGUAACUAGGCCACUCGUAUAUUCUGUCUCGAGAAUUACCGGAGAGAGAGAGGACGAACCGCGAUCUUGGCGGAUUUUGCCAAGUGAAAUUCCAUUUACAUAAAUCGUAAGUCCUUAUACCAUAAUAUACGAUUCUUGUACGAGGUCUCGGCGUUUGUUUUAUAAUUCAAUCUCCAUCAAUCGCUUACCUUAAUUCUCUGCAGCCAUUGGGAGGCUCGCCAAAGAGAAUGGAAAAUUAAUGUUUUUUUUUUUUUUUUUUUGAAAAAAAGAAACUGCGGAAAAUCUGACGCAUGAGAAAUCAUUCUAGGAUGUAGAAUCCGUAUGAAAAUUGUAUCUAUUUAUACCGUCGUCGUGUCAUUCGGUGUACGGCGGACGUGGGGUUCGUUGAUGAUCUCGGUCCCUACCGGCAAUCUUUUUAGAAUGUAAUCGUGCCAUAUGGCUUGAUAUUGCAUAAUCACGAAUGGUUAGCAACCGUAAACAAUUAAGGAUCACCUGUUAUUAGCGGCAAGUGAAAAUUUAUUACAGAGAAUUCGCGAUAUCAGAUACGAUACCCUGAUUACGAUUAAUUCGUUUCAUUUAGUUUUUUUUUUUUUUUUUUUUUUUUUCCUUUCUUCAUUGGGAUGAGUAAUAUUUUGAUGCAAGUGAAGAGGGAAUAUGAAUUAUCAGACGACGUACGAUGAUGUCAUUGACGAGAUGCGAUCUGCUAGGAACGUGAAAUCUAUUGUAGUAGAAAAAAAAAAGGGAAAAUAAAAAUCUGCGCCGAGCGAUCUACGACGCGUUUAACGGUUAAUAACAGUAUUGUAUACCUAUGUAUGUAUAAAAUUACUAUGUUUCGAAAAGGUGUAGGCUAAAGUGUUGACCGUUUUAAAGUUUAACGCCCACUUAUUUC